AUGGCUCUGCACUGCCCUGUGGCUGUGGGCUUCAACAAGGGCCACAAGGUGACCAAGAACACGAGCAAGCUUAGGGACAGCCGCAGCCGCAGGCGUUUGACCAAACACCAAGUUCGUGUGGGACACGAUCCAAGAGGUGUGUGGCUUCGCCCUGAACAAGCUGUGCGCCAUGGAGUUACUGAAGGUCUCCAAGGACAAACAGGCCCUCAAGUUCAUCAAGAAAAGGGUGGGGACACACAUCUGUGCCAAGAGGAAGUGGGAGGAGCUGAGCAACAUCCUGGCCACCAUGAGGAAAUCUGCUGCUAAGAAAGACUGAGCCCCUCCCCUGCCCUCUCCCUCAAAGAAAGAACAGCUUGAUAGAA